AUGCGCACUGUGUCUCGGCCGAGCAGUCACAGGCCGGUGUGCUCGGUGCCAGCGUCCCGCAUUUGCCGGGUGGAAGCUGGCAUCCAGCCAGAACGGGAGUGGCCAGCUAUGCGGUCGAGACCGCCAGUGCGCCUCCACGGCCCUGUGUAUCCGUUGCCUCGGCCAAGGAAGAGGCCGCCUGUAUGUCUCCCCAGCCUGGUGAGUCCUGUGCCUGUUCCCAGAACCAGGUCUCCUGGGUCUCCCUCCUGUCCGGAGCUGCCAGAGCCGCCCUCAUGUCUGGAGCUGCCAGAGCCUCCCGUCAGUCCGGAGCUGCCAGAGCCUCCCGUCAGUCUGGAGCUGCCAGAGCCUCCCGUCAGUCCGGAGCUGCCAGAGCCUCCCGUCAGUCCGAAGCUGCCAGAGCCUCCCGUCAGUCCGGAGCUUCCAGAGCCUCCUGUCACUCCGAAGCUGCCAGAGUCGCCCUUCACUCUGGAGCCGCCAGAGUCGCCCUUCACUCUGGAGCCGCCAGAGUCGCCCUUCACUCUGGAGCCGCCGGAGUCGCCCUUCACUCUGGAGCCGCCAGAGUCACCCUUCACUCUGGAGCCGCCGGAGUCGCCCUUCACUCUGGAGCCGCCGGAGUUGCCCUUCACUCCGGAGCUGCCGGAGUCGCCCUUCACUCUGGAGCCGCCGGAGUCGCCCUUCACUCCGGAGCUGCCAGAGUCGCCCUUCACUCCGGAGCUGCCAGAGUCGCCCUUCACUCCGGAGCUGCCAGAAUCGCAGUCCCUCAGUCCAGAGGCGCCCAUCAGUCCAGAGCCGCCCCUCAGUCCAGAGCCGCCCCUCACUCCAGUGGCGCCCUCUACGAGGCUCUUCAGUCCGGGGCCCGCUGCGAGGGUCAACGUCCCGCACCUGAGCCGCCGCCUUAAGGAAGGCCCACCCCUCCCCUCCCCUUUAGAGUCAGGUUUUGCGGCCAGAGUCCGCAGCUUUUUUUUUUGGGGGGGGGGGGGGGGGGGGGUACUGUCACGCCCUGGCCAUAGAGAGGCUUUUAUUCUGUAUUUUGGUUAG
rnacentral:lncRNA from 1 species